GNNNNNNNAGUUGAAUGUUUAAACUAUCGGCUCAACUGAUAAUCGCGUUCAAAACUGCAUUUCUUGAGUGGAGUAGAGGCAGGCGGAAUUCCUAGUGUAGCGGUGAAAUGCGUAGAUAUUAGGAGGAACACCAGCGGCGAAGGCGGCCUGCUGGGCUCUAACUGACGCUGAGGCUCGAAAGCGUGGGUAGCAAACAGGAUUAGAUACCCUGGUAGUCCACGCCGUAAACGAUGAUUACUAGGCGUGGGGGGACUGACCCCUUCCGUGCCGGAGUUAACACAAUAAGUAAUCCACCUGGGGAGUACGGUCGCAAGACUGAAACUCAAAGGAAUUGACGGGGGCCCGCACAAGCAGUGGAGUAUGUGGUUUAAUUCGAAGCAACGCGAAGAACCCUACCAGGUCUUGACAUCGUGCGCAUACCGUAGAGAUACGGGAAGUCCUUCGGGACGCAUAGACAGGUGGUGCAUGGUUGUCGUCAGCUCGUGUCGUGAGAUGUUGGGUUAAGUCCCGCAACGAGCGCAACCCUUAUUAUUAGUUGCUACGCAAGAGCACUCUAAUGAGACUGCCGUUGACAAAACGGAGGAAGGUGGGGAUGACGUCAAAUCAUCAUGCCCCUUAUGACCUGGGCUACACACGUACUACAAUGGCACUUAACAGAGGGAAGCAAGACCGCGAGGUGGAGCAAACCCCCAAAAAGUGUCUCAGUUCGGAUUGCAGGCUGCAACCCGCCUGUAUGNNNUCGGAAUUGCUAGUAAUCGCGGAUCAGCAUGCCGCAGUGAAUACGUUCCCGGGCCUUGUACACACCGCCCGUCACACCAUGAGAGCCGGUAACACCCGAAGUCAGUAGCCUAACCGCAAGGAGGGCGCCGCCGAAGGUGGGAUUGGUGAUUAGGGUGAAGUCGUAACAAGGUAACCA
rnacentral:rRNA from 1 species